GAUCAUGGCUCAGGAUGAACGCUAGCGGCAGGCUUAACACAUGCAAGUCGAGGGGCAGCAUAAUGGAUAGCAAUAUCUAUGGUGGCGACCGGCGCACGGGUGCGUAACGCGUAUGCAACCUACCUUUAACAGGGGGAUAACACUGAGAAAUUGGUACUAAUACCCCAUAAUAUCAUAGAAGGCAUCUUUUAUGGUUGAAAAAUUACCCGAUGGUUAGAGAUGGGCAUGCGUUGUA
rnacentral:rRNA from 1 species